AAGUCGUAACAAGGUUUCCGUAGGUGAACCUGCGGAAGGAUCAUUAACACUAAUGAAAUCCAAAACCUUUUGGAUCAACCCAACCUUAGCGAACCGUUCGUUUUUUUCCCUUUGCCCCACAUUUUAUCAAACGCAAAACAAAUCUGAUGUAAAGUGUCUGAUUCUUAUUCCCGAGUGUGUAACAACGCACGCUGGGAAUCAAAAAUCUAACGCAAUACAACUCUUAACAACGGAUAUCUUGGCUCUC
rnacentral:misc_RNA from 1 species